rnacentral:rRNA from 1 species
CCUACGGGGGGCAGCAGUGGGGAAUAGUGGGCAAUGGGCGCAAGCCUGACCCAGCAACGCCGCGUGAAGGAAGAAGGCUGUCGGGUUGUAAACUUCUUUUGACAGGGAAGAGCAGAAGACGGGACCUGUCGAAUAAGCCACGGCUAACUACGGGCCAGCAGCCGCGGUAAUACGUCGUUGGCAAGCGUUGUCCGGAUUUACUGGGUGGAAAGGGCGGGUAGCCGGGCGGACAAGUCAGAUGUGAAAUCCGGGGGCGCAACCCCCGAACUGCAUUUGAAACGGUUGGUCUUGAGUAUCGGAGCGGCAGGCGGAAUUCCUCGUGUAGCGGUGCACUGCGUCGAUAUUAGGCGGAACCCCAGUGGCGCAGGCGGCCUGCUGGACGACAACUGACGGUGCGGCGCGAAAGCGUGGGGAGCACCCAGGAUUAGAUACCCCAGUAGUC